rnacentral:rRNA from 1 species
CAAUAGCGUAUAUUAAAGUUGUUGCAGUUAAAAAGCUCGUAGUUGAAGUUGUAGGGCGUUGGGACCUUGCUCGCUCCGGCGAGGGGUUUCUGCCCUAUUGAUUCGUAUUACUGUGAAAAAAUUAGAGUGUUCCAAGCGGGCUGUUGAUGCUUGCAUAUAUUAGCAUGGAAUAAUAAGAUAGGACACGUGUACCUUUGUUGGUCUGGGUGACGUAGUAAUGAUUAAUAGGGAUAGUUGGGGGUAUUCAUAUUUGGUAGGGAGAGGUGAAAUUCUGAUCUACCAAAGAUGACCGACUGCGAAAGCAUUUACCAAGGAUGUUUUCAUUAA